rnacentral:tRNA from 1 species
GUGAGUGUAGCCUAAUGGCAAGGCGCUAGUUUGUGGUACUAGUUAUCAGAGUUCGAUUCUCUGCACUCACA